UACGAACGGUCCAAACGUUAUUCGGAAUCACUGGGCUUAAAGCGUCCGUAGGCGGCUCGGAAAGUAGGGUGUGAAAUCCCACGGCUCAACCGAGGAAUUGCGCUCUAAACUGCCGUGCUUGAGGGACCUAGAGGUGAGCGGAACUGAUGGUGGAGCGGUGAAAUGCGUUGAUAUCGGAAGGAACGCCCGUGGCGAAAGCGGGCUCCUGGACCCCACCUGACGCUGAGACGCGAAAGCCAGGGGAGCAAACGGG
rnacentral:rRNA from 1 species